CACGCUGUAAACGAUGAACACUAGAUUUUAUGGGAAUUGACCCCUGUAGAGUCGGAGCUAACGCGAUAAGUGUUCCGCCUGGGAAGUACGGUCGCAAGACUAAAACUCAAAGGAAUUGACGGGGGCCCGCACAAGCGGUGGAUCAUGUGGUUUAAUUCGAAGCAACGCGAAGAACCUUACCUAGGUUUGACAUCCUUGGACCGCUGUAGAAAUACAGUUUUUGUAGCAAUACAACCGAGAGACAGGUGC
rnacentral:rRNA from 1 species